rnacentral:rRNA from 1 species
AGCGAACGCUGGCGGCAGGCUUAACACAUGCAAGUCGAGCGGGCCCUUCGGGGUCAGCGGCGGACGGGUGAGUAACGCGUGGGAACGUGCCUUCUGGUCUGGAAUAACCCUGGGAAACUAGGGCUAAUACCGGAUACGCCCUUUUGGGGAAAGGUUUACUGCCGGAAGAUAGGCCCGCGUCUGAUUAGCUAGUUGGUGGGGUAACGGCCUACCAAGGCGACGAUCAGUAGCUGGUCUGAGAGGAUGAUCAGCCACACUGGGACUGAGACACGGCCCAGACUCCUACGGGAGGCAGCAGUGGGGAAUAUUGGACAAUGGGCGCAAGCCUGAUCCAGCCAUGCCGCGUGAGUGAUGAAGGCCUUAGGGUUGUAAAGCUCUUUUAUCCGGGACGAUAAUGACGGUACCGGAGGAAUAAGCCCCGGCUAACUUCGUG